UGUGGGAGCUGGCUUGCCUGCGAUAGCGGUGGGUCAGUUGAUGCAUUUGUUACUGAUGCACCGCUAUCGCAGGCAAGCCAGCUCCCACA
rnacentral:misc_RNA from 1 species